rnacentral:rRNA from 1 species
UACGGGGGGAGCAAGCGUUGUUCGGAUUUACUGGGCGUAAAGGGCGCGCAGGCGGCUACGCACGUCCGUUGUGAAAUCGCUCGGCUCAACUGGGCGGGGUCAGCGGAUACGGCGUAGCUGGAGCAAGCUAGGGGGCAAUGGAAUUCCCGGUGUAGUGGUGGAAUGCGUAGAUAUCGGGAGGAACACCAGUGGCGAAGGCGGUUGCCUGGAGCUUUGCUGACGCUGAGGCGCGAAAGCUAGGGGAGCGAACGGG